UGGGCAGUGAAAAAGGCGAGACCCGCUGACUCUUAAUCAGCGGGUCGUAGGUUCGAGCCCUACAUCACCCACCA
rnacentral:tRNA from 1 species